CGUCGAGAUAACGCGGUUAUCGCGGGCGAUUUUUCAACGAACAAACUCGGUCGUUACGUAACGUUUUCGGAAGUAACGUAUUAAAUAUUGCGCGAUUAUAUAGUUAUAUCCGCGUAUACGUGUGAUGCCGGUGGAGUUAUGUCAAGCAUCGAGGGAGCUAACAACCCGAGAGGACAGCCUGAGAGGAGGAGGAGGCCUGGGAGAGGCAUCGGGCGCCAGCGGAACAACAUUGUGAAGAUAACGACGCGGAAAGUGUCGCGUCGAAAGAGCUGACAACCCGAAAUGACAGCCUGAGAGGAGGAGGAGGCCUGGGAGAGGCAUCGGGCACUAGCGGAACAACUUUGCGUAUCAACGUAGCUACGUGGCAGAUAUAAUUCCGCUAUUGCGCAUCGGUGUCGGUGAGUGAUGAAUUAAUAUAUUUAUUGAGGUAACGGAUGUAUGGUAACUUAUCAAAUAUACAUACUAUAUAUCUAGAUAAAGGUAUGAAAUUUGUUAACAAUAUAAAGAUCUUACACAUAAGUAUAUAGCAUUCUAUACAUCCGUUGCCUUGAAAUGGAUCAGUUACAACAGAUUAGGAUAAGUUUAAUUCUGGACGUUUCUUUAUUAUUAUAUUUAUUAUGGAUAAUUUAUUAAUUUAGUGUGCACACGAGAAUGUACUCGUAUGCAUACGAUGUGUAUAAAUUAAGAUAGAA